rnacentral:rRNA from 1 species
UACGUAGGGUGCAAGCGUUAAUCGGAAUUACUGGGCGUAAAGCGUGCGCAGGCGGUUGUGCAAGACAGAUGUGAAAUCCCCGGGCUCAACCUGGGAACUGCAUUUGUGACUGCACGGCUUGAGUAUGGCAGAGGGGGGUGGAAUUCCGCGUGUAGCAGUGAAAUGCGUAGAGAUGCGGAGGAACACCGAUGGCGAAGGCAGCCCCCUGGGCCAAUACUGACGCUCAGGCACGAAAGCGUGGGGAGCAAACAGG